AGUCCAAAAAAAAUAAGUUGAGGUGGCCAACUUAUUUUUUUGGCUUAUAAGCUAUUUUUUUGUCAAACCAGCUUAUAAAUUAUUAUUUUUAAGCUAAGCCAAAUGGGUACUAGGAAUAUAUAGCAUUAGUUAAGGCCAAAUACAUAUGCAACCCCCUAAACUUGUCACAAUUUUCCAUUUAGACACUUGAACUCAAUCUAGUAUCUAUUGAACACCUAAACUCUUGAAAAAAUGUUCUAAUUAGACACAUUUUACUGACAUGGCAAAAUAUGUGCUUUUCACUCUCUUUACGCGCGUGCAAUAUUUGGGAAAUGGUUUUUUUUCUCCUUCUCUUUUCCGCUUGUUUUACUUGAAUAUCGACAAGAAAUUCUUCACCAGAACACCACCGUCAAGAAAACUUGUAAAAAAACCUUCAAAUUUGAUUUCUCCAAUUCCAACACCACCAUAACCAGCUGCAAUUUUCCCAAAUUCUUUUUAGGAACAACCUGAAAUUGGUUUCCUCAAACCCAUGAUUCCCUUUCAUGAUUUCUCUCCACUGGGUUUGUUAUCCGAUUUGAAUCACUUACCAGAAGUGAAAAUAUUCAUUUUUUUUUAACUCUCCAGUUUAAUUCUUACUUGUCACCACCAAACCAACUAAAAUGUUUUAACAGAAGCGGACGCACGGCGAGGAUAUGGGGCGAAGCGUAAGUCUUGAGGCGUAAGCCCUAUAAAUUACAAAGCUGGCAGCCCCUACCCCACCCCUCCAUCAACUCGUGUCAGCGACCCCAGGGGAGUACUAGGCAGUGGAUGCACACCGGCAAACAGUAACUUCCGGCAGUGGCACUAGUAAUACUGCAAGAGUGACGAGAAGGCGAUACAACAGAUGCACCUUGAUAUCUCCAGCUUUAAUCCAGGUGACAUUAUCUCGGAGUUGGUACCUCCGGUUGCAUGUUUGCUCGGUUCUGACUUUCUUUCUUGUAGUUUUAAUUGCUUUGUUUUUGUACUGACUAGUUUAUAGUCAUUUAUUUUAGAUACCUUAUUUUAGACGCCCUUUCUUGUUGUAGUGGUAGUGGUAGUGGUAGCUUAGUAACUCCUAGAAUAUAGUGGC